GACGAACGCUGGCGGCGUGCCUAAUACAUGCAAGUUGAGCGCUGAAGGUUGGUACUUGUACCAACUGGAUGAGCAGCGAACGGGUGAGUAACGCGUGGGGAAUCUGCCUUUGAGCGGGGGACAACAUUUGGAAACGAAUGCUAAUACCGCAUAAAAACUUUAAACACAAGUUUUAAGUUUGAAAGAUGCAAUUGCAUCACUCAAAGAUGAUCCCGCGUUGUAUUAGCUAGUUGGUGAGGUAAAGGCUCACCAAGGGGAUGAUACAUAGCCGACCUGAGAGGGUGGUCGGCCACAUUGGGACUGAGACACGGCCCAAACUCCUACGGGAGGCAGCAGUAGGGAAUCUUCGGCAAUGGACGAAAGUCUGACCGAGCAACGCCGCGUGAGUGAAGAAGGUUUUCGGAUCGUAAAACUCUGUUGGUAGAGAAGAACGUUGGUGAGAGUGGAAAGCUCAUCAAGUGACGGUAACUACCCAGAAAGGGACGGCUAACUACGUG
rnacentral:rRNA from 1 species